GAUGAAGAACGUAGCGAAAUGCGAUAAGUAGUGUGAAUUGCAGAAUUCAGUGAAUCAUCGAAUCUUUGAACGCACAUUGCGCCCUAUGGUAUUCCGUAGGGCAUGCCUGUUCGAGCGUCAUUCAAACCUUCAAGCUCUGCUUGGUGUUGGGCGUCUGUCCUGCCUCACGGCGCGGACUCGCCUCAAAUCUAUUGGCGGCCGGCACGUUGGCUUCGAGCGCAGCAGAAACGCGAACUCGAGACCGGCGGAUCGGCUCCCAGAAGCUACCCCCAUGAAUUUGACCUCGGAUCAGGUAGGGAUACCCGCUGAACUUAAGAAUAUCAAUAAGCGGAGGA
rnacentral:misc_RNA from 1 species